rnacentral:rRNA from 1 species
ACGUGUAGCAGUGAAAUGNGUAGAGAUGUGGAGGAAUACCGAUGGCGAAGGCAGCCUCCUGGGAUAACACUGACGUUCAUGCCCGAAAGCGUGGGUAGCAAACAGGAUUAGAUACCCUGGUAGUCCACGCCCUAAACGAUGUCGAUUAGCUGUUGGGCAGCAUGACUGCUUAGUAGCGAAGCUAACGCGUGAAAUCGACCGCCUGGGGAGUACGGUCGCAAGAUUAAAACUCAAAGGAAUUGACGGGGACCCGCACAAGCGGUGGAUGAUGUGGAUUAAUUCGAUGCAACGCGAAGAACCUUACCUGGUCUUGACAUGUACGGAACCCUCCAGAGACGGAGGAGUGCCUUCGGGAGCCGUAACACAGGUGCUGCAUGGCUGUCGUCAGCUCGUGUCGUGAGAUGUUGGGUUAAGUCCCGCAACGAGCGCAACCCUUGUCAUUAGUUGCCAUCAUUAAGUUGGGCACUCUAAUGAGACUGCCGGUGACAAGCCGGAGGAAGGUGGGGAUGACGUCAAGUCCUCAUGGCCCUUAUGACCAGGGCUUCACACGUCAUACAAUGGUCGGUACAGAGGGUAGCCAAGCCGCGAGGCGGAGCCAAUCUCACAAAACUGAUCGUAGUCCGGAUUGCACUC